UCUUCCAUGCCUGGGUGUUGUGUGUGCAGAACUCUCCAGCAGCUUUCUCAGGGCUAACUGUGCCCGCUUUUCAGAGUCGCACCUGUCGCUCUGCCAGGGGCCUUCCCCACCACCAUGCAACCCUUGGGAAGUUGCCCCCAAAGGAAUGUGGGGCCUCCCACCCAAGCUGGGAGGUAAAAAAAAAAGCUUCCAUUGCCUGGACGCGAACCCAUGUCCCCCCCCCCUUCAUGCUUCCAGCCUCUUCCUUUUGCUCAUCUGCAAACAUCUGCAGUCUGAAUCAUAAAUUAACCUGACUAAAACACAGUUAACAGAUUUGCGGCGACCCCCAUAUUCUGAUCUUGACGGAUUAGAGAGGAGAGGAAGGAUCCGAGGGGUGCUUUUCUCAGCCCUUUGCUCAAUGGGACAACUCUGAGAAAAAGCCUGCAGAGCUGCACAUUCUGAGUCGGACAUCCCAGAAUUGCAGAAGCCAUCCCAACUUCUGAUUCCAUUCCGGAACGUCCCAGGAUUUCAGCCAAGCGGGAAGAAGAGCGUGGAACCAAAAGACAUCUGGGUGGCCACAUCUCUGCCGGUCUUCGCGGGGAUGAACAGAGGCGUUGCCGGCCUGUCCAG